AACGAACGCUGGCGGCAUGCCUAACACAUGCAAGUCGAACGAGACCUUCGGGUCUAGUGGCGCACGGGUGCGUAACGCGUGGGAACCUGCCCUUAGGUUCGGAAUAACUCCCCGAAAGGGGUGCUAAUACCGGAUAAUGUCUUCGGACCAAAGAUUUAUCGCCUUUGGAUGGGCCCGCGUUGGAUUAGCUAGUUGGUAGGGUAAAAGCCUACCAAGGCGACGAUCCAUAGCUGGUCUGAGAGGAUGAUCAGCCACACUGGGACUGAGACACGGCCCAGACUCCUACGGGAGGCAGCAGUGGGGAAUAUUGGACAAUGGGCGCAAGCCUGAUCCAGCCAUGCCGCGUGAGUGAUGAAGGCCUUAGGGUUGUAAAGCUCUUUUAGCCGGGAUGAUAAUGACGGUACCGGGAGAAUAAGCCCCGGCUAACUCCGUG
rnacentral:rRNA from 1 species